GACAGAGGGGGCAAGCGUUGCUCGGAAUUACUGGGCGUAAAGGGCGCGUAGGCGGGAUGGCAAGUCGGUCGUGAAAUCUCUCGGCUCAACCGAGAAACGUCGGCCGAUACUGCCGUUCUUGAGGGAUGCAGAGGAGACUGGAAUUCCCGGUGUAGCGGUGAAAUGUGUAGAGAUCGGGAGGAACACCGGUGGCGAAGGCGGGUCUCUGGGCAUUUCCUGACGCUGAGGCGCGAAAGCGUGGGGAGCAAACGGG
rnacentral:rRNA from 1 species